rnacentral:rRNA from 1 species
CAUUUUUAUACCCGGGGGGCGUAUAACCGUUUUGGUACCCAUAGGUCUCACACUGUCUUUCCACAACCAUAUCACAAACUUUCUUCCUAGGGCCCCUAACUUGUCCAUUUGGAAGAUUCCCUUACUCCUACGGGAGGCAGCAGUAGGGAAUCUUCCACAAUGGACGACAGUCUGAUGGAGCCCUGCCGCGUGAGUGAUGAAGGCUUUCGGGUCGUAAACUCUGUUGUUGGAGAAGAACGUGUGUGAGAGUAACUGCUCAUGCAGUGACGGUAUCCAACCAGAAAGCCACGGCUAACUACGUGCCAGCAGCCGCGGUAAUACA